rnacentral:rRNA from 1 species
AGUUUGAUCCUGGCUCAGAACGAACGCUGGCGGCAGGCCUAAUACAUGCAAGUCGAGCGCAUCCUUCGGGAUGAGCGGCGGACGGGUGAGUAACGCGUGGGAAUAUGCCCUUCUCUAAGGAAUAGCCUCGGGAAACUGAGAGUAAUACCUUAUACGCCCUUCGGGGGAAAGAUUUAUCGGAGAAGGAUUAGCCCGCGUUAGAUUAGGUAGUUGGUGGGGUAAUGGCCUACCAAGCCUACGAUCUAUAGCUGGUUUGAGAGGAUGAUCAGCCACACUGGGACUGAGACACGGCCCAGACUCCUACGGGAGGCAGCAGUAGGGAAUCUUAGACAAUGGGGGAAACCCUGAUCUAGCCAUGCCGCGUGUGUGAUGAAGGCCUUAGGGUCGUAAAGCACUUUCGCCAGAGAUGAUAAUGACAGUAUCUGGUAAAGAAACCCCGGCUAACUCCGUGCCAGCAGCCGCGGUAAUACGGAGGGGGUUAGCGUUGUUCGGAAUUACUGGGCGUAAAGCGCACGUAGGCGGAUUAGUAAGUUAGAGGUGAAAUCCCAGGGCUCAACCCUGGAACUGCCUUUAAUACUGCUAGUCUUGAGUUCGAGAGAGGUAAGUGGAAUUCCAAGUGUAGAGGUGAAAUUCGUAGAUAUUUGGAGGAACACCAGUGGCGAAGGCGGCUUACUGGCUCGAUACUGACGCUGAGGUGCGAA